AUUGAACGCUGGCGGUAUGCUUAACACAUGCAAGUCGAACGGUAACAGGCCUUCGGGCGCUGACGAGUGGCGGACGGGUGAGUAACGCGUAGGAAUCUGCCUCAUAGUGGGGGACAACGUGGGGAAACUCACGCUAAUACCGCAUACGCCCUACGGGGGAAAGCGGGGGAUCUUCGGACCUCGCGCUAUGAGAUGAGCCUGCGUUAGAUUAGCUAGUUGGUAGGGUAAAGGCCUACCAAGGCGACGAUCUAUAGCUGGUCUGAGAGGACGAUCAGCCACACUGGGACUGAGACACGGCCCAGACUCCUACGGGAGGCAGCAGUGGGGAAUAUUGGACAAUGGGCGCAAGCCUGAUCCAGCAAUACCGCGUGUGUGAAGAAGGCCUUAGGGUUGUAAAGCACUUUCAAUUGGGAGGAAAACCUAGCCGGUCAAUACCCGGCAGCUUGACAUUACCCUUAGAAGAAGCACCGGCUAACUCCGUGCCAGCAGCCGCGGUAAU
rnacentral:rRNA from 1 species